ensembl:miRNA
AGGUGGGAGGAUUGCUUGAGCCUGGGAGGUGGAGGUUGCAGUGAGCCAAGAUCAUGCCACUGCACUCCAGCCUGGGUGACAGAGCCAGACUGUGUCUC